rnacentral:rRNA from 1 species
UACGUAGGGGACGAGCGUUAUCCGGAAUUAUUGGGCGUAAAGCGCACGCAAGCGGUCUGUCAAGUCUGACGUGAAAUAUCUUGGCUUAACUGGGAGCGGUCGUUGGAAACUGAUAGGCUUGAGGCGAUGAGAGGGGUGCAGAAUUCCUGGUGUAGUGGUGGAAUGCGUAGAGAUCAGGAGGAAUACCUGUGGCGAAAGCGGCACCCUGGUGUCGUUCUGACGCUCAUGUGCGAAAGCGUGGGGAGCGAACGGG